rnacentral:miRNA from 1 species
UGGAGAGCAGUUAACGUGCGUUC